rnacentral:rRNA from 1 species
UACGUAGGUGGCAAGCGUUGUCCGGAUUUACUGGGCGUAAAGAGCGCGCAGGCGGUCGUUCAAGUCGCGUGUGAAAGCCCCCGGCUCAACUGGGGAGGGUCACGCGAUACUGAUCGACUCGAAGGCAGGAGAGGGAAGUGGAAUUCCCGGUGUAGUGGUGAAAUGCGUAGAUAUCGGGAGGAACACCAGUGGCGAAGGCGGCCUACUGGGCUGCACCUGACGCUGAGCCGCGAAAGCCAGGGGAGCGAACGGG